GUAGCUCUCAUCAAAGCUUUAAGGAAAGCUCUUUGUUUUUUGAAAUGAUGCUUUUAUGAGAUAGAGCUUUUUUAGAUAAUGCUUUUUUAGAUAAUGCUGGGGAAGGUUUUCCGGUUUAUCUCGGAGGGCUUGUAGCUCAGUUGGUUAGAGCGCGCGCUUGAUAAGCGUGAGGUCGGAGGUUCAAGUCCUCCCAGGCCCACCAAUUUACCUAUCCAUUUGCCUUUAUCCGUUUAUUUGCCGAUUUAUCGGUCUAUUGAAUUUAAGUGUUGGUAGCAGUUUUUAUAAUGAUGAGAAAUCAUGCUUAUAAAAGAACUCCUUAUAAAAGGCUUGUUUUUAAAAUGUGACGCUUAUCCAUUUCGCUUAGGCAAGAGAAACUUCAAGCGGUUCAAAUGCAAAAGGCUUUAAAUUUUGCAAAACACUUUGAAUUUUAAAGUGAUCCAAGUUCGUGAUCUCGAAUUUAAAAGUUUCGAAUGCUUUAUCCUUUUUUGGGGGCCGUAGCUCAGCUGGGAGAGCACCUGCUUUGCAAGCAGGGGGCGUCGGU
rnacentral:misc_RNA from 1 species